rnacentral:precursor_RNA from 8 species
AAGUGUCAACACUCAGUCAGUCGUAUGCCUGGAAUUCCGCUAGUUCUGAACUAUUCGUGAUUGGCAAAAGUUCACUACUAGCAGAACUCGGAUAUACAACUGAAUUCUCAACGACAGCUCA